UACAGAGGUCUCAAGCGUUGUUCGGAUUCAUUGGGCGUAAAGGGUGCGUAGGCGGUUUGGUAAGUUGGAUGUGAAAUCUCCAGGCUCAACUUGGAGGGGUCAUUCGAUACUGCCAUGACUAGAGUUCGGUAGGGGAGUGUGGAAUUCCUGGUGGAGCGGUGAAAUGCGCAGAUAUCAGGAGGAACACCGGUGGCGAAGGCGGGUCUCUGGGCCGUAACUGACGCUGAGGAGCGAAAGCGUGGGGAGCGAACAGG
rnacentral:rRNA from 1 species